rnacentral:pre_miRNA from 1 species
GGAAACUUGGAAACUACCGUUGAAUCGAAAAAUGGACGUCUGAGAUUUAUCCACGUCACUUUUACUCACAAAUAGUGAUGAGGAUGAAUCUCGGGCGUCCAUUUUUUGAUUAACGGUAGUUUAUAAGUUUCC